rnacentral:lncRNA from 1 species
CUCUCCUCUCGAUUCCUCCUCCACCCCCUCCUCCUCUCUCCCCACCCUCUCCUACCCCCUCACCCCCCUGUGUCCCAAACUAUGGCACAAUAGGCCCCAGCUCCUCUGUCUAUUCUGUGUCCAGCAGGAGCCCGCGGUGAUUCAUUGCUCCAAUUAGGGGCUCUGCAGCCCGUGGCUCAGGCUGUCUGAAGGGUCUCCUUUGGGACCUAAGAAACCCAUCAGCCGCUGCCGCUGAUCUUUAAGGAAAGGUCAAGCCGGACGCGCUAGUGCCAGAAUCAUCAGACCAUCUGGCAGGAUGGCACUUUCCAUUAUUCCAGCACCCUGGAGAUGCACGGGAAGUUCAAGACCAGCCUGGGCUGCUUCGUGAAACUGUCUCAAAAAGUGAGAACACAGCAGGGAUCAGGAUCCCUCUCUACGCGUUCCAGACUGGCUUACUGGCCUGGAACUCGCUGUGUAACCCAUGCUGGCCUUGAACUCACGACAGCCUCUUCCUUCAGCUUCCUGACUUAACAAAUGUAAACCACCACGUCUAGCAUGGACUCCCUUGUUACAGUGACACCAGGAAACUCAUUUAAUGCCUUGCAGUGGCCUGGCCCUACUGCUGAACAGAGUCCCAACUAUCCCACCCCCGGGUUGGCUCAGCAUGGCCCUACUCAGCCCCAGCACUGAGUCCUGAAGGAGGAUUUGGCCGCCCCCAGCCCAGUGAGUCAGCCUCUUGGGUAGUCACCAUUUCUGCGGAGCCUCACCACACUUGCACGCCUCCAGUCAGACUGCAGUUUCCUCAAAGGCCGGAAGCUCCAUUCAGGCGUCUUUGCUGUACCCAGCCCCUGUGGUGAAGGAGCCCAAGGCCAGCUAAAGCACUGUGCAGUGCACUUCACACCAGCCUGUCCUUGUCCCCUAUCCCUGCAGAGCUCUGCCCCAGCCACCCCCUCAGCCCCGUGCGUCAUCAUGACCUGACAUCACCACCUGACACCGGUGAGAGGCACUCCACCAAUUGGGCACGCAAAGACAGCUGGGUAAAGGCACUCUGGCUUCUAGCUCAGUCCCACCUGGCCAGCUGAGAGACCUUUUCCAGCUGAGGGAAUCCCUGGGCCUUCCAACUUUCCAGUACAGAACCUGACUCAAAGAACAGUAAGUCCAAUUAAGACAUCCUAUCUGUGGCCUGCCACAGGUUAGCCCAGUAAAUUUCCAUCUCAUUCCCCUUGGUGAUCUCAGAGCCACCAAAGUGUCCCCUGGACCUGUGGGCCAGGAGGGAGGUGGCUAUGUUUUAGAAACUUCCCCCCAGACAAUAGCAGGCUGAUCUGGAAACACCCGUCUACCUUCGCCAAGGUGGGGCUAGCUGCGUGCCACCGGCUUUGGGGAGGUACAGCCACUUGUUAGUCAGGUAACCAAUCCGUGGGACCAAUCCUCUGCUCAGGGUCAUAUCCCUGUCUCAGACUGGCCCAUACUGCUUGGGUCCACUGUGACCAAUAGCAGGGGGUCAAGGCCAUGAGCAUCUCACAAGUGGCAGAGACCUUGAACCCACCAGCCAUUGUCACAGUGCUCCCAGGGAUGUGUCGAGGGGGGCGGGGCAGGAGGGCAGGGCUGUGGUGUGUACCGAGAAAAUGUGCUCCCAGUGCUGGGACACACAGAAGAACCCAAAGGCCUCCUGUACCCUUAGAACAGACCUCAGGCCUGACUCCUGCCCUAGCCAAGUCCCCACCCCCACCCCUGGGGCCCUCUGAGGCUUUCCCAUGGAAUCUCUGGGUGGCUUUGGAUUCAGGCCACAAGGAACAAGUAUCGGAAGCUCAGUAACAGGAAAUGCUCUGUGGCCUUGGAUGGCUUUCCAGGCUGUGGCCUUCAGCCGGCUGUGCUCUGGGUAUUGCAGCCAUUGAAGCCUUCAAUGGGAUGGGAGCGGGAAGGGCCUUGGUCCCCAGGGCUGACAGUGACUCUUUUUCCCUCCUUGGCUGGCUGCCCCUAAACACCCUGGGCAGAGCCCAUUUAUCUAGAGGCUCUGGGUGGACACAGCAUCUUCAAAUCCUGUUUUGGGCCAUGAAUGUCCAGGCUUCAGCUAAAGGAGAGAGAGAGAGAGAGAGAGAGAGAGAGAGAGAGACUUGACCAUCCCAGGAGAGGUGGGGGUAGAGUGGGGGGAGUGGAGGGACCCUUUUGGCAGCUCUCUCCUCUUGCCAUGUCCUUAGUACAAGGAGUGGUGGCCCAGAGCCAUGAGGAGGGUACAACAGGAGGCUCAGGUGAAGAGUCACAGCUGGAUCGGGCUGUAGCUCUGCUCACAUUUUCUGUGCUGGCUCCAAAUGCAGAGGAACCCACUGGCAGAGGAGAUAGCAACCCACC